GGAGAGAUGCCUGAGCGGUCGAAAGGGACGGUCUUGAAAACCGUUGUACGCGCAAGCGUACCCAGGGUUCGAAUCCCUGUCUCUCCGCCA
rnacentral:tRNA from 1 species